AAAGAGUCAGUUAAAGCCAUUAGGCUAAUGAGAACACCUGACUCCAAUUAAGCUGCAAAGAGUCAGGUGAGGCCGUUAAGCCAAUGUGAACACCUGACUGUAAUUAAGGCCACUCUGAUACUAUAAAAGGGCUCACUCCAGUCAGGCCAAAGAGAACCAGGGAGCCUGAGGAGAGGAAGUGUGGCUGAAGGCCUGGGUAAUGAAGACACCCUCAAGCCACUGGAAAGGGAGCCCUAAGUACAGGGUGUCAAAAAAUGAAGAAUAUCUGUCCGUGUUGGAGGAGAAAGGGGCCAUCUGGAGGACAGCAAGUCAAUGGCUGAGUGGGAUCGCACACUUGUGAAGGGAUCCACAAUAGCUGAUCACACUACCGAAGAAGGCUCUGUGCAGAACUGAAAAGAUGUAAUGCAGCUAGUUCAAUGCUGCACUCAGACUCACUGCUUAACUGCAUGGCUUUUGGCCCUGCACAAAGAACAUCACUGGAUAAAUAACUUCAUAGCAUGAACUGCUUGCCAAAUGCCUUUUUCCUAACUUUGUCACAAAAUAAAAUUUCUAAAUUGCAUUCACAGAGGCUAAUCUCAUUUUCCUAAACCCACAAAACUUCCAAAUCCCUUCCAGAAUAGUUGUUUCUUGAUCAUAGUUUUUCAACAGUAUA